rnacentral:rRNA from 1 species
UGAGUAACACGUAUCCAACCUGCCGUCUACUCUUGGACAGCCUUCUGAAAGGAAGAUUAAUACAAGAUGGCAUCAUGAGUCCGCAUGUUCACAUGAUUAAAGGUAUUCCGGUAGACGAUGGGGAUGCGUUCCAUUGGAUAGUAGGCGGGGUAACGGCCCACCUAGUCUUCGAUGGAUAGGGGUUCUGAGAGGAAGGUCCCCCACAUUGGAACUGAGACACGGUCCAA